GAGUUUGUUGAACUUUUCUUGUCGAUCGCGAUCACCAAAUAGUGAUGUAUCCCAUCGAUGAGUGGACUCUUCAGAAUUAGUGGUGGUUUUCUUGUUUCCCCACAGCAGCUUCUUCUUUUGGUCAGUAGUCAUGAUACCCGUUCCAAUAAGGUUUCUAUUAACUAAUUCAGCAGCCUUCAUUGCAGCAAUCUUUGCAGCAUCUAUAUCAGAGUCUUUCACGCCCUGCUCCAAAGACAACUCACCGUUUAGAUCUUGACCUUGUUUUGAAUUCGAAGAGAAUUUUCCAUCAGCUGCAUUUGCAUCUUUUCCCUGCGCAGAACUCUCAUCCAUGCCUGAAAAUUUUGACUUCUUAGAUGGAGACGACACACGCCCUUUACUAGAAGCAACAUUUCUGUCUGCAAAUAUCUUCUCUCGGUCCUCAUAGUUCUUCCUUUCCUCUUUGGUGUAUUUCUUACCAUCCAACUCCAUAGCAUCAACCUGUGGUUCUUUUCUUGAAUUUGACUCAUUUCUGUUGCUUCUAGACUCCUCAUAAGCAGGUGAACGAUCACUCUUGUGAUCGCUCGAACGGUUCCCUUUCUCAUCUCGACUGUCUCUAUACUCCUUAUACCUGUCACUCUCCCUGGAUCUAUUAUCGUCAAUGCUAGAGCUAUUAUAACGUCUACCUGAUCCUACUCUGUCAAAUGAUAAAUCUUUAUCUUUGAACGAUGAAGCUUCUCUCUCCUGAUUCUUGCUUCUAUGUGCUGAAUCCCCGUACCUAUCUCGGUAGUGUUUGUCAGUGUCACGUGGGGAGUGUCUUGAUCUAUGAUCAUUAUCACGCCUGGAGUUAUUGCCAUAAUUGUCCACUCUUGAAUCAUGAUGAGAAUGAGAGCUUAGCUUUGAAUAUCCUUUAUCAUCAUCAUCAGUAUGCCUGCCAUAUCUGGUAUAAUCAUUUUGCUUAUGGUAAUUGCGGGAACUCCUAGAAGAUUGUCGAUCAGACUGCCUUUGAGAUUCACCACUUCGAUCUUGUCGGUUUCUACUGGAACCCCUAUCUAUAUAAUCAUCCUUGUGUCGCCAAUCAUCCUUCCUUGAUGGGAUAGGACUAGAGCUCCUCUUGCGGGCAGGGCUCCCAUCAGACGAGGAUGAUCCACCAACAGGAGUCCGACGCCUGUAUUUCCUGUUAACAGCAUCAUUGGAGAGCUUACGGAAAGCCCCCUUUGAAUCAAUAUUCUCUUGAGACGUAUUUUUUCCAUCUAAGUCCAUAGUAUUUAACCUUCGAUGCGAGCUAUUAAGUUGCAGAAACUGAUUAGCUAUGUUUAUCUUCUUCCUCUCGCUUCGUGCAUCUUCUUG
rnacentral:misc_RNA from 1 species